rnacentral:rRNA from 1 species
AGCUGGCUGGUUCCAUGAGGUGACUUCUGCCCAGUGCUCUGAUUGUCAAGGCGAAGAGAUUCAGCCAAGCGCGGGUAAACGGCGGGAGUAACUAUGACUCUCUUAAGGUAGCCAAAUGCCUCGUCAACCAAUUAUUGACGCGCAUGAAUGGAUCAACGAGAUUCCUGCUGUCCCUAGGUGCUGUCCGGUGAACCAACAGCCAAGGGAACGGGCUUGGGCGUGUCAGCGGGGAAAGAAGACCCUGUUGAGUUUGACUCUAGUUUGAUGCUGUGCAGUGACAUGUCGGGUGUAGCACAGGUGGGAGGCCAGUGCCACUACUGUGGUGAUGCAUCCCCCAACAGGAGAGAGCGUUCACGCCCUGGACGCCUUGCCUCUCUGUCCCGGAGUGAUGGGCACACACCCGGUGUGCCUGUGCGGCUCUUUCCCUGUGCGGGCGUGUGAACGGCCCAAGCAAAGCAAGUCCCUGGUGCCAGCCAGCAGUGAAAUACCACUACCUUCACCGUUGCUUUACUCAUCGAGUGGCUUGGGAACAGUGGCCAUUGGACAUCAACCUCUGCAUUCCUGUGGUGGUUGCGGCCUCCUCCUGCUUCGUGCGUCAAGCGCUCCACCCCGUGUGGUGCGUGACCCUGGGGGGUUCCACCCCGCCCAGCUCCUUGGUGCCUCGGGACAAUGAUCAGUUGGGGAGUUUGGCUGGGGCGGCACGCCUGUCACAGGACAACGCAGGCGUCCUGAAGCAUUGCUCAGAUGGAACGGAAAUCCUGCAUGGAGGAGCAGGCCAAAGGUGCUGCUGAUGCGGCGGCUCCCAGUACGAGCCCAGAACGUGCAAGUGUGGCCUUGCGAUCCUUUGGCCAAGCGCGCGGGUUCUGGAUAUUGAAGCCAGAGGUGUCAGAAAAAUUACCACAGGGAUAACUGGCUUGUGGCUGCCAAGCGUUCAAAGCGACGUCGCUUUUUGAUCCUUCGAUGUCGGCUCUUCCUAGCUUCCCACCCGCAGCCGAGUGGAAGAGUUGGAUUGUUC